rnacentral:vault_RNA from 1 species
GAGCUGGCUUAGUCGAGUGGCUACUUCAUACUUACUUACUGAGCUAUUGUUCGAAAAUCGGGUUUCUAGAACCACUUGGUGCCACUGACGCCAUCCAGCCAAAUU